GUGGGGAAUAUUGGGCAAUGGGGGAAACCCUGACCCAGCGACGCCGCGUGAGGGAAGAAGGCCUUAGGGUCGUAAACCUCUGUUGUGUGGGAAGAAGAGCGUGACGGUACCACACGAGGAAGUCCCGGCUAACUACGUGCCAGCAGCCGCGGUAAUACGUAGGGGACGAGCGUUGUCCGGAUUUACUGGGCGUAAAGGGCGCGUAGGCGGUCAUUUAAGUCAGCUGUGAAAUGGUUUGGCUUAACCGGAUCAUGCGGUUGAAACUGGAUGACUGGAGUGCUGGAGAGGCAAGUGGAAUUCCCAGUGUAGCGGUGAAAUGCGUAGAUAUUGGGAAGAACACCGGUGGCGAAGGCGACUUGCUGGCCAGCAACUGACGCUGAGGCGCGAAAGCCAGGGGAGCAAACGGGAUUAGAUACCCGGGUAGUCC
rnacentral:rRNA from 1 species